rnacentral:hammerhead_ribozyme from 1 species
AUCCAACUGACGAGUCCCAAAUAAGAUGAAAUGCGCAACCUGGAU